CAAACAGCGGAGAUAUCUGACGCUGAAGACGCUAUUGGCUGACAACACUUUGUAGCCCACUGUCUGUGACAGAGAGUGGGAUUUCCUUAACCGUUUCGUGAUGCGUAAUGACCCGACGACACCCCCCACACACUUUCUACAUGACAAGGGUCUGAUUUGUUUAUUGCACUCGAACAUAAUCUCUCAACUGUUAAGGGGCUUUUAGAUCGAGCUUGUUGAACCUAUUCAACUCUGUUUGUUUUUAGACACAUAAACUUCUGCUUCCUCAAAUAUUGAAUGGCUGUUGCUGGAGCUUUCACUUUCUCUAUAGAGCGAUUCGGCAAGUCACAGUGGAGAAUUCAAGGGGAAAUUUCAGCCCUGAUGGGUGGGAGUUUCCACUGCGAUGGAGGUGGAGUUACAGUGAGGGUUUGAUCUGUUGUGGUUGUAAGCAUAUUACCUCAUAUGUCAAAUGAGUGUUGGAAGUGUUUGUACAGUAGUUUUGGCACAGCACUACUUCUUUUACACUUUCUUCUACUUUUCGGCAAACUCAAAUCAGAGUUUAACCUCACAGCUUGGUUCCUGACAGCUUUUUUCCCUUCAACAACAACAACAAAGCGGUGUCAAAAUGAAGUUUCUAGAGCUGGGUGACUCGAUCGGUCGCUUCAGGUUUUCACAGUCCUGUUUGGGAUUACUGGGGUGCCUGUGUGUGUGCUAUGCAGUCUGGACACCUUACUGGGUGAAGGACAGAGGACUGUGGACGGAGUGGAACGCCACUGAAAGCGACCAGACGAAUCCUAAAGAUGAUAUUGGCAUCAACGCUCUGGAAGCAGAGAGGGUCUUUGGAGUUCUCUCCUCCCUGAUGGCUGUGAGCACAGCUGCUCUGUGUCUGGUGUUUGCCCUCUGCUGGACUUCUCAGACGGUGCGCUCCUACUCAAACACUCGCGCUCUCCUCAUUGUACGAAAGGCGCUCUACCCCACUACCCUGCUGCUGUUCACCAUGGCCCCCACAGGUUUCUUCUUCCUCCUGAGCUGGUCUUUUUUCACAUAUCAGCACCGUGAAGAAAUCAGUCAGGACUUCUCCAGUCUUGGCUCUUCCUAUUGGCUGGGAGCUUUAGGUUGGACCCUGCUGCUCGUCGUGGAGCCGAUCGUCUUUAUCGUUGAACAGGCUGUCGUGCCGGACAUCCUACCUGACUUGGAGAAUGCUGUGGAGCCAUGCCAGAUUUCCUCUCCAUCUGAGGCCGACGAACAGUCUUUUAGUCAAAGUUCUCAUCCUUUAAGCCCCAAAAGCAACAAGGGUGUGAUGAAAUAUAUGUCUGAAUUUUGAAUGGAGUUCAGAAACAAAAAGGACAUGAUACAGAAUAUGAAGCUAAAUGAGUCAGUUUACACAUUAAUCCACACAAACUCAGCUGGCUGUGUAUUGAAAGAAUCCUGAAGUCAGCAGAAUUGAAGUUUCCUGCUGGGCUUACUGUGGAAAUCAUUUUCUGGUUUGUUUUGUUCACUGGUUCACUGGUUUGUUGAUUGAAAUGAAAUGAAAACACACUAAGGACCAAUAAUGUACCAACUAGUGUAAUACACAACUAAUGAUAGGUUUGUGCCUCAGCCAGGAUCAGGUCCAGGUAUAAAGGGCUCUGAGUUAAGUCUACGUAAACAAGACAUUCAGUUAGUACAUUUAUCUGAAUGGUGGUGCUGCGAUAUAUCUUACUUGAUGUCAUUGUAAUGACCAUGCGACACUUCAAAUAGUAAUUCUCAUGUAAAAGAUGAUAGGUACUGAUUAAUGUUGACAGGCUGACAGAUUUACACAUUACAAGCAUUUUUGGUCUGUUACAUAGGUUUUUCUUUUUUGUUUGCAUAGAGAUUUAACUUGGGUUUAUUUAUAAACAGAUGGGUAGUUCUCAGAUAUAUUCGAGAGCCCAUACUGUAAUUUCCACUACAGCAUUGUUUUAAUGCAGAGCUCUAUGAGGGCCUGAAGAUCAUGGCCAUUCAGUACUUGUUUUCAGCCGUGUCCCUUAUGCACAGAGACUUUCUGGUUUUCUUUUAAUAGUAGAUUGCACUGUAGUUGAGGGAAUUCCCACUUGCAAAUUCUUUGCAAGUUUUACAGUAAGAAGCUGUCAUUUGGCAGGACGUGGGGUACAUCUUUGAGUGGUUGCCAGUCCGUUGUAGGACUAAUAAUAAGAAACAAUGCUCUUGAACGGUCUGCCUGCACUACCUUUCAUACUGGUGGACUCUUCCCCUUUAGACUUUUGAAACACUCUCUUUUCUUUUCUUUUUUUAUACCAAGUCUUUAUUAAUUGUGAAUUUUGUUACUUUGUUGUUUUUUUUGUUCCCCAUUUUGUAUCUUUUUUUAAUGCCUACAAAAAACAAUAAAACUUCUCAGUAUAAC
ensembl:lncRNA